rnacentral:rRNA from 1 species
GACGAACGCUGGCGGCGUGCCUAAUACAUGCAAGUCGAGCGGACUGAUUAAGAGCUUGCUCUUAUGACGUUAGCGGCGGACGGGUGAGUAACACGUGGGCAACCUGCCCUGUAGAUCGGGAUAACACCGAGAAAUAGGUGCUAAUACCGGGUAAUAUCUGAGAUCACAUGAUCUUAGGGUAAAAGAUGGCUCCGGCUAUCACUACAGGAUGGGAACGCGGCGCAUUAGCUAGUGGGUAAGGUAAUGGCUUACCAAGGCGACGAUGCGUAGCCGACCUGAGAGGGCGAUCGGCCACACCUGGACUGAGACACGGCCCAGACUCCCUCGGAAUGAAGCAGUGGGCAAUCUUCCGCAAUGGGCGGAAGUCUGACGGAGUAACGCCGCGUCAGUGAUGAAGUGUUUCAGCUCGUAGAGCUCUGUUGUGACGGAAGAAUCAGUACCGAACGAUCUACGUCGGUACCUUGACGGUACCUAACCAGAAAGCUACGGCUAACUACGUG